rnacentral:rRNA from 1 species
CCUACGGGGGGCUGCAGUGAGGAAUAUUGGACAAUGGGCGCAAGCCUGAUCCAGCCAUGCCGCGUGCAGGAUGACGGUCCUAUGGAUUGUAAACUGCUUUUGUACGAGAAGAAACACUCCUACGUGUAGGAGCUUGACGGUAUCGUAAGAAUAAGGAUCGGCUAACUCCGUGCCAGCAGCCGCGGUAAUACGGAGGAUCCAAGCGUUAUCCGGAAUCAUUGGGUUUAAAGGGUCCGUAGGCGGUUUAGUAAGUCAGUGGUGAAAGCCCAUCGCUCAACGGUGGAACGGCCAUUGAUACUGCUGAACUUGAAUUAUUAGGAAGUAACUAGAAUAUGUAGUGUAGCGGUGAAAUGCUUAGAGAUUACAUGGAAUACCAAUUGCGAAGGCAGGUUACUACUAAUGGAUUGACGCUGAUGGACGAAAGCGUGGGUAGCGAACAG